rnacentral:rRNA from 1 species
AACGAACGCUGGCGGCAGGCCUAACACAUGCAAGUCGAGCGAGAUCUUCGGGUCUAGCGGCGGACGGGUGAGUAACGCGUGGGAAUAUGCCUCUUGGUACGGAAUAGCCUCGGGAAACUGGGAGUAAUACCGUAUGUGCCCUUUGGGGGAAAGAUUUAUCGCCAAGAGAUUAGCCCGCGUUGGAUUAGGUAGUUGGUGGGGUAAUGGCCUACCAAGCCGACGAUCCAUAGCUGGUUUGAGAGGAUGAUCAGCCACACUGGGACUGAGACACGGCCCAGACUCCUACGGGAGGCAGCAGUGGGGAAUCUUAGACAAUGGGGGCAACCCUGAUCUAGCCAUGCCGCGUGAGUGAUGAAGGCCUUAGGGUUGUAAAGCUCCUUCAGCUGGGAAGAUAAUGACGGUACCAGCAGAAGAAGCCCCGGCUAACUCCGUG